CAUUUACAAGGCUUCCUGCUGUGCCUCCUGUCCAGCUGCCCUGCCUGUCUCUGUGUGCGACUCUUCAGCUUUAUUUUGCAGGAAGGAAUUGGGAAAAUAAAAAAAAUCCACUAACAAGCUUUGAGAUGCUUUACCUCAUAAAAUCCCACUUGGGAUAUAAUGGUUUUUGAGGAAAAGAGGGAGCUUCACAUAAUGGGAUUAAGGAAAUUCCCAUCUGCUUAGAGCCUCCUUUUCUCUGCCUCUUGUUGAUAGGGAAAGGAGUUUAAUCACUGUAAUUGCAUUGUAGGAUGAUGGCUAUUGUCUCAGUGUGCAAGGCUAGCUUUAUUGCCUUUUGGCUACAAGGGGCUGAACUGUGUGGAGGAAGCCAGUGGCACCCAGGAGUUUUUACCAUGACCAAUCUCUCACCAAGACAGAGGAUAUUUAUUGUGAUCCUUAGCUGCACUUUGGAUCUGCAUGACAGGAUCAUUCACCCUCAAACCUAUUUUAUUAGUGGAACAAGGUGGAGAUACUGCAAUCCAUGUUCUUUCUGAGAUUAUUAUGAUAUGUUUCUGAGAGUUAGACAUCUUUACCUUUUUUCCUCCCCACCUUCAAGUUUAUCAGCCAUUACAGCUUUGUUUCCAUGAAAUAUUUAGAAGGCUAUUAAAGGAGUGCAAUUACACUGUUUUCAGACUGAGAACUACAUGAUCGCUAUGCCAUUACUGGGCUUGCCUGGAGAAGAGAAGGCUAUGGGUUGACCUCAUUGCAGCCUUCCAGUACCUAAAAGGAGCCUAUAAGCAGGAAGGGAGUCAACUCUUUACAAGGGUAGAUAAUGGCAGGACAAGGGGAAAUGGUUUUAAAUUGAAGGAGGGAAGAUUUAGAUUGGAUAUCAGGGGAAAGUUCUUUACCAAGAGAGUGAUGAGGUGCUGGAACAGGCUGGCCAGAGAGGCUGUGAAUGCCCCGUCCCUAGAAAUGUUCAAGGCCAGGUUGGAUGGGGACCUGGGCAGCCUGGUUUGGUAUUACACAUGGAGAUUGGUGGCCCUACAUGUGGCACAGGGGUUGGAGCUUGAUGGUCCUUGAGGUCCCUUCCAACCCAGGCCAUUCUAUGAUUCAACAUAAGAAUUCUGCAGAUGUACUUUUAACAUGAUUUUUUUUUAGUAUCUUGCGCAAGCUCAGUUUAAAAAAAAUCCUAUCCAUAGUCGUUUCUAAAAUAGAACUUGCCAGAGAGAAAUCAUAGAUUUGUACAAUCAUGAAGGUUGGAAAAGACCACUAAGAUGAUCUAGUCCAACCCACUGCCAAAUGCUGUUAUAUUUUUAAGAACAGAUCAGUACUUAAUUAUCAUUUAAGCACAUUUGCUGUUGUUUAAGCACAUUUGCUGUUCAAAAGUAUCAUUGAAGUUUUCUGAGAAACUAAAGACAUUCUGUGCUGCAAGGAGCUUCUGAAAGGUUACACCAAAAGGAAAGGACUCAGCGUUCAUUAGCACACCUUAUUCCAGCCUGAGGCAAGCACAUAGCAGUCUGUGCACUUAGAUUUCCUACUUUCUGUUUUACUCUCCAAAAUCUUUCAGUUUUUUAUUUCCCUAGCAGACAUGUUUGGGCAGUCCCAUCUAAAUGGCAGUCUGUUCUCAGAGAGAUGGUAACCCCACGCCCCCAGACCCACAUGUGCCCUUGCCAGAGCAUCCCGCUCUGCUUUGAAGCACCUCCGCCAUGGAGACCUCCACACCCACUCAGCAUUCCUUCACUUAUGUACCUAUGUGUACAAAGAAAUCAGAAGUGUUAGCAUGCAUUUCAUUUUUAGUUCUUAAUUCAACUGAUGAAGAGCUUAAAGCAAAACAGUGCUUUUCUUGAGGAUGCCAGAAUUUUUCAAGUUGAACUUCUUGAAAUCUGGAUAAAUUUCUCUUCCACUUCACACAUUUUUAAUGGAAACUUUCAUCUUCUCAAAAGAAGCAUAAAAAUGCUCACAGAAACUAUUUUCAAUAGAGUGAGGUACUUUCCUCUAAAUAAGAAUUUUCAAUUUUUCCUAAAGAGUCAAAAACGCUUCCCUCAGCAAGGCCAAAGAAGCUGAAAUUAAUGCUCCUUGAUUUUGCCACAAGCCUUGUAAGAAGCCUCAGGGAUUUUUAUUAGGAGCUCUGGCACCUCAGCCGCAUCAUUUUUACGUAAAUGAAGCUCUUGUUAAAUGUUAAGCAAAGUUAAAUCAUACUCUGCAGAGACUGCUAAGCAGCUUGACUAAAAUUGCUCUUUCCUCUUGAUCACUUGAUUUUCUUAUGAAUUCACCACCUCUCUACCUCUCUCGUUGCCAUAGAGCUUGCACAGCUUAUUGAAAUGAGACAAAAAUUCCCAAGUAAAACAAAAAAUGCAGUGAAGUAGAAAAGUAACAUGGGCAGAAAAGGCACUAAGAGGCCUUCACCAGCACACCUGCUUGAGGGGCCGCAGAACUCCAAAGUUCAUCAAUACUAUGUGAAUCACUGCUGGAGACUGACAUUAGAAAUCCAUCUUCAUGCUGGCCUGGUUCCUCAUCUCCUACAUCACUAAAUUACAACUUAAAUCCAAAUAUCUCCCAAAUGUUUUGAUACAAGACCUAAAAAACCCCCAUUUCUCAGCUCCCUGAAGACUUCAUAGACCAUAUGCUUCUCAAAGGAGAAGUUAUGCUGUUUCACUUCUUUCUAAUGACUGUUGGCCAAUGGGAAAAUGUAUAACUGAACAACUUAGGUUAUGUCCGCUUGGAGAAGUUGAAGAUUUCAUUAGAUGCUGGACAACAAUAUUCACAUCCAAAGCACUCAAUUUCCAUGCUGCAUCAGGCUUAGUCUCAGUCUCCCCAGAACACAGUGAAAAGAUGUGACAGUAGCUUUCUGUGUAGAAAUAUAUUUGGCAAAUAUAUAAACCCUGCAGAGCAUCCCUUGAGAGGCUAAAGGAAUUUAAACUUAAGUCCCAUGCAGAUCUCCUCUAAGGUGUUAUUUUCCCCCCUAAAUACCAUGUUGAAAUUCUACUUUUACCAAGUUUAAAACUGGAAGAUACAUUAUGUUUGCAGAACUGGAAAUCUCAGUGAAUAAAUAAAUCUUGAGAAGCACAGCUACAGGGAAACAGGCACAGACCUUGCACCAUUCACAGCUUUAAAAAAAGUGUUGGAGCUUAGUAAAGCCAGCAUCACACACACAGCAAAUUAGAAGGAGGGCACGCUCUCCUCAUGAACUUGGGGAAAACCCACACAUUUCAAAAGCACAUAAUUCAGCUGUAAAAUGUUAACAACUGUUUUCCAGACUUCGCUUUGGUAUACAAAAUUCAGCCCAGAAACUCUUCCAUUUCACAAAGUAUGGUUCAAAUUAAGGGGAAAAAACAACCCUUUACAUAUCUUUGCAGUGUUUUUUUUUUUUUCUUUCCACAACACCAGAGUUCUGUCAAAGUGGGAAUCUUCAUAAAAACAACUAUUCAUAUUCUAUGGUUUAUUUAUGCAAAUUGGAUGGGCAAUGUUAAUUAAAUGAACACUUAGAUCUGUGUAGACCUUUUUACCAGUAGGUUUCAAGAAGAUAAAGUAUGAGAACCUUACUUUGGAACCAAAGAAAUGAAGAUCUGGAUAGGUUGGAUAGCUGGGCUGAAGCCAAUGGGAUGGGAUUCAACAAGACCAAAUGCCGGGUCCUGCACUUUGUCCACAAUAACCCCAGGCAACGCUACAGGCUUGGGGCAGAGUGGCUGGAAGACUGUGUAGAGGAAAUGGACCUGGGGGUGUUGAUUGACACUAGACUGAACAUGAGCCAGCAGUGUGCCCAGGUGGCCAAGAAGGCCAAUGGCAUCCUGGCUUGUAUCAGAAAUAGUGUGGCCAGCAGGAACAGGGAAGUAAUUAUCCCCCUGUACUCAGCACUGGUGAAGCCACACCUUGAGUACUGUGUCCAGUUUUGGGCCCCUCACUGUAAGAAAGACAUCGAGGCCCUGGAGCAUGUCCAGAGGAGGGCAACAAAGCUGGUGAGGGGUCUGGAGCACAGGCCUUAUGAAGAGCGGCUGAAGGAGCUGGGAUUGUUCAGUUUAGAGAAGAGGAGGCUCAGGGGAGACCUUAUUGCUCUCUAUAACUACCUGAAGGGAGUUUGUAGUGAGCUGGGGGUCGGCCUCUUCUCUCAGGUGACUAGUGAUAGGACUAGAGGGAAUGGCUUCAAGCUGCACCAGGGAAGAUUCAGGCUGGACGUUAGGAAAUACUACUUCUCUGAAAGGGUGGUCAGGCACUGGAAUGGGCUGCCCAGAGAGGUGGUGGAGUCACCGAACCUGGUGGUGUUCAAAGAGCGUUUGGAUGUUGUGUUGAGGGACAUGGUUUAGCGAGAACCAUUGGUGAUGGGCGAAUGGUUGGACUGGAUGAUCCUGUGGGUCUUUUCCAACCUUAGCGAUUCUAUGAUUCUAUAAGAAACAUUGUAAGUGACGUAUGAGCUGAUCUACCAGACUAGGAACCAAGCCAGGAGAAAGGCAAACGAAGGGAUGGAUGCAUGCAAUAAAAGCCUUCAAAUGAUGCCAGGCUGGAUUUUUUUCCUGUGACAGACAGUUAUUGUACAGUUAUGGUCUUCUAAUUAACCAGUUAAAGUACAGUUUCUGCAAUUGUCCUACAUAUGUAGGUACCUGGAUAUUAAGCCUAUAGUUUCAUGAAGUACAGAAAUUCAGUUCCCUCUGAUCCCCCUGAGAAGAAAACAGAGAACAAAACCAACCACCAUUUACCUUCCCCUGAACACCUCUGCUGGUAACAGCUUUGUAAAAUAUUCCUGUGCAAUAUCUACUGAGCAUUAGCAUUGUGCACUUCAUACAGUGAUGCAUCACUGUCCUUUGCUGCAAUUUUAGUUAAUUACCCCAUGAAAAACUUAAAAGAUUUAAGCUCAUAAAAAGUAGUAAAUAAUACAUAUCAGUAGUUUGAUUUCUUGCUACAACACAAAGUUGGAAGUUCAGCCUUCAGUAACCUCUGAGCUAUUCCUUAUCCCCACAGCUUCUGUGACAGUACUACAGGAACGUCUAUCUGUACACAGCAUACAAUAUUACCCUUUAUGAAGGCAGCACUGGAACGGAGAUAUAUAAUUAAUUACAUUCAAUUUAGCACCAUGGAUUUAAGGAUUUGCCUUCCAUUAGCAAACAGAGGAGGGAAACUUAGAAAGUAGAUAACAUCUAUUAUAGACAGAUCAUAUAAAUGACUAUUUCACACUUAUUUAAUCCUUCAAAAGCACUAUCAGAGAAAAUAGUUGUUUCUUAUAAGCAGAUGUACUGUUUGAAGGCACUCAGAGCAAUAUUCAGAUGCUGCUGUAUGGAGUGUGUGUUAAGGAAAGCCCAAAGCAGUUGGGACAGUCUGCUGUAAGCUGGCAGGGUGAGGGCAGAGGCUGCAGACACAGUGCAUGGAUGGAUGUGUGCAUGGCUGGGGAUAGAUGCAUGGCCACGCUGCCAAAGAGACCUGCCUUGUUCUUGGGCUGGGUGUAGAGACAACAACCCUGAUCUUCAGCGCAAUGGGCAUGCAGCAAGACUGAACAGAAAAGAAGAUACUGGGAGGAAAGUGAUGGCUUGAGACUUUUUUUCCCUGAAAAAUCAGAAAAAACCCCAACUCUGCUACAACCAAAAAUCCAGUCAUCCAAAACAUUUCAUCUGUGAAAAGAAUUCAAAUUCAAUUAUUGACUGCACAACAAAUUACUGCAUCUCAGUCAGAGGCCGUGCGUGGAAGCUGAAACACUGAGAACACAGCUAGAACGUAUUCCAAACGCAGCCUUCACCCAGGACUCUCUGAAGCACAGUCGACAUCAGAGACAGCAGAGCAGGAAAUAUGUUCUCAGAUGGAAAGGUCUGCUACAUUCCUCCAAGAAUUGCCCUCUAGAGCCGGAGCCUCUUUGUCUAACAGGUACAGCUGAGGCAGGUCCCUGUGCUUUGAAACACUGCUGUUAGAGAAGAAUCGAGGUAUGGCUUUUGGUUCAAGACUGAAUGGUUGGUACUGACAAAAUCUGGAGUAGGCAGCAGGACUCUGCUUUCACGUAUACAUUUGUUUCACAGCCUGAAGCUGGAAAAGCUUUAAUUUAAAUCUUACUGAUAAAAUAGAAAAAAAAGCUAUUGAUCUUAAUUUUUUUAGCAUGCAUGGUAUUUUUAUUAAUGAUUAAUAACCUUACUAUACUAUCACAAUAUAUCUGUAUAUGUAUUUUUCUUGUUAAAGUAUACAAUUUAGGUGUAAAACAUUUCAUUUGAUUCAUCUCCAACACUACUAACCUUUUCUUACUUAAAUCUGUAAUGCAAAUCUAUAAAAAUCACCAUCAGCUAUAACAGAUGAGUCCAUUGAAAGGCAGUGGCCCUAGGGAUGGCUCUGACCUCCUGAUCUUUCCAUCGCCACUGCUCACACAGCCAGGACUCCUUUGUCCAGAUCAAACCUUUCAGUAGCUGGCACUGAUGAUCAGAGCAAAGCAACUCUCCCACAUCUCUCUGGACAUGGCUUUUAUGCUCCUCUGCAUCUCCAUGAGACUAAACAACAAUCAGCAUUUGACUCUAAAACUCUUUUCAUGGCCAUCUUAUAGUUCAGACACGGUCCCCCCAGGAACCUGUAGCAUGGGGGUCAUAGAAAUCUCAUCCUGUUCCCCCUAGAUACAUUCACAUAUUUCCACAUCAGGUAGAAUACAUGUAGCAAAACCAAACUGGGCAUGCACAAUCACCUGUAGUUUCUUCAGGCAAGGCCACCUCAGAGAUGCAAGAAAAACAGUCUAGGAAAAGUUUUAGAGACCUUUUUCCUGCCAACAUACACAAACCUAGUUACUUUGUUCCAAGGGGCCAACUUCAUCAUGUACCAUACUGGUAGUUAAUUCGGCCUAAAUGCUUGCCAGUUUUUAAUACAGCUUCCCUAAAGUUCCUAUUAAUCUGGGGUGAAUAUAAAGUGCACUGCUUUCUCCCAGCUUGUUUCAUCCUCUGAUUACAUUCACAUAUUGUACGCAGCACAGCUGUGGACACUUCAGGAGCAGCCAUCCUGAAGAUGGAGAUUGACCAUCCAGUACAACCCACCCCAUCCCAACACUCUGAUUUUCUUUCUGUAGGGUUUCACCAUCGAUUGUAGCCUUCCCAAAUCUUAUCUAACACUAUCUCAUCUAGUCUGUGUUCCAAAAUUCGAUUUAUGCACCUGUAUUCAUUCAUUUUUCACUUGGCUUUGCUGUAAUGUCUAACAGCAGAGAUAGCAUUUGUACUUCUGAUAGCUCAAAAGUUUACACAUCAUUUGAAAGCCAUGCAUUUGCAGAUAGAUAAAAAUAGUCUUCGUGUUUUAAUUAAGUGUUUGCAGUGCAACAGUCAGCGUUGGCAAUGGCAACAGUCAGUUACAGCUAAUGAUACCUUUUGAUAAAGGCAUCAAAUUGUUUUACCCCCAAACCAACCUGUACUACUUUGAGUAAUUUCUGCUGGCACCUCUGGCUUAUGUGCUGCUGAUGGUCAGUUUUUAUCCUAUUGAUGUGUACUGUUAUGGUAAUUGGAGGCUAUUUUAGACUAUUUGUGUUUACCCUUAUUGCUAGUUAAUCCCCCCAGAAUUGUGAAGCAUCACUCACAGAUUUUCCAUGUUAGCUGUUAUUUUGCCACUUCUGCACAGAAACUUGCUUGAAACCACCUCAAAUCACAGAUUUGUUGGCCAAGUUCCUAUUACCCUCAGCAGCUCUGUAUUAGGACCUACGUGGCUCAAUUAAUCAGGUGGCUAACACCAAGCAAGUCUAAAGACAAGGAUGAAUGGAAAGCAUCCUGGGGGACAGCUGUGCAGGAAAAUUAAAGUCAAAAAGGAAAGUUGCAGCAGAGACCACAGUAGGACAGAGGAGGAGCUCCUGGCUGUGAGCUGUCUGCAGCUCCAGGAGCCCUGGCUUUUGGCACUUUGUGAAGAAUUGCAGCUGCUGAUGCUGUCAAUAGUCCAGAAAAAGUAGCAGCUGCAAGGGAAGGAGGGAGGACUGCUUGGGACUUCCUGACUGACCUCACACUUCUGUAGCCCAGAUCAUUUCUCCUUCUCCUGCCAUACUUCACCCAUAAAAACACUGAUUACUAUGAUUUCAUGCAGGUGGAGGAAAUUUCACUUUCACGGCUUCAGAGUUGUUUCAUUUUCAGAUCCUAAGGGUUUCCACAGCUUGGAGAGAUCACAGGAGUGAUUUUUUCAAGCGUGGGGCUUGGGGGCUCUCAGUGUUGGGACCUGCCUUUUUACUACUGCUGGAAAGGUCCAGAACUUGAGGGUUGAAAACUAUCAAGUGAACAUCAUACAACAAAAUACAAUUUUCACAGAAAAUGGUUUCUCUUUGUUAAAUUUCACAUCUACUCAUUGUAAAAGCAUCCCCAUAAAACAAACAAAAAAAAGUGUUCAUGUUAUUUUGUGUGAAAAGACAAAACACUUAUUAGAAGGCAUAACACUUUUUGAUUCUUGUCUUACAGAAUAAGCUACGAAUCCUCAACAUAUAAAGUGACUAUAAAGUAAAAACUAAUUUCUCAUGUAGUUAUUCUGUUCCUGAGACCUUUCUGGCUAUCUAAUAUAUUUCCAAAGGAACAUGUUGUUUUGAUAACUGAAUACUCAAUUAGAUAUUCCUCUAGCAAACCAAUUCAGAACUUCCUAUCACGAUCUUCUGUACAGCUACACAGAUAGGGCAUAUAAUUGGACAAAACUUUUCACAGCCACAAGAUUAAGUUUCUUCUUUAAUAAAUAAUUCUUUUUAUUAUUAAAACAUAUGUUAAAUGUAUAUUGUAGACAACUGUAUAGCCAUUUUGGAAGGCUUAUAGUAAGACCCUGUGAUGCUAUACUGAGAUGACA
rnacentral:lncRNA from 1 species